CCUCAAGGAUUGGAGCUCGUCGGAGCCUUGAACCGAAAUGACCUGGGCACUUUUGGACAACUAUUUCUGAAGGCGAGCAACCUCAUCGAUCGCCAUCUUGAGCCUCCUUCUGUAGUUGUCUAUUUGCCCGCACCAGCCGACUUGGUGAGUGUUGUAAUUCAUCUCGACGUCCUGUAGCCACUUUUGGAGGUCGGAGAAUUUCUUCGACCAGUCCCAGCCGUGGUCGGCCUGAGUUGUAAGCCAGGACGAGCUCCCUUCCAAUUGGCCGAUCUUCUCCCAUGCGGCCGCCAACUCGACCUUGAGGGAGCUGAUCU
rnacentral:lncRNA from 1 species